rnacentral:rRNA from 1 species
GAUGAACGCUGGCGGCGUGCCUAAUACAUGCAAGUCGAGCGAACAGACGAGGAGCUUGCUCCUCUGACGUUAGCGGCGGACGGGUGAGUAACACGUGGAUAACCUACCUAUAAGACUGGGAUAACUUCGGGAAACCGGAGCUAAUACCGGAUAGUAUAUUGAACCGCAUGGUUCAAUAGUGAAAGACGGUUUUGCUGUCACUUAUAGAUGGAUCCGCGCUGCAUUAGCUAGUUGGUAAGGUAACGGCUUACCAAGGCAACGAUGCGUAGCCGACCUGAGAGGGUGAUCGGCCACACUGGAACUGAGACACGGUCCAGACUCCUACGGGAGGCAGCAGUAGGGAAUCUUCCACGAUGAGCGAAAGCCUGACGAAGCAACGCCGCGUGAGUGAUGAAGGUCUUCGGAUCGUAAAACUCUGUUAUUAGGGAAGAACAAAUGUGUAAGUAACUAUGCACGUCUUGACGGUACCAAAUCAGAAAGCCACGGCUAACUACGUG